rnacentral:rRNA from 1 species
AGCGAACGCUGGCGGCAGGCUUAACACAUGCAAGUCGAGCGGGCACUUCGGUGUCAGCGGCAGACGGGUGAGUAACACGUGGGAACGUACCCUUUGGUUCGGAAUAACGCUGAGAAACUAGCGCUAAUACCGGAUACGCCCUUUUGGGGAAAGGCUUGCUGCCGAAGGAUCGGCCCGCGUCUGAUUAGCUAGUUGGUGGGGUAAUGGCCUACCAAGGCGACGAUCAGUAGCUGGUCUGAGAGGAUGAUCAGCCACACUGGGACUGAGACACGGCCCAGACUCCUACGGGAGGCAGCAGUGGGGAAUAUUGGACAAUGGGCGCAAGCCUGAUCCAGCCAUGCCGCGUGAGUGAUGAAGGCCUUAGGGUUGUAAAGCUCUUUUGUCCGGGACGAUAAUGACGGUACCGGAAGAAUAAGCCCCGGCUAACUUCGUG